rnacentral:rRNA from 1 species
GACGAACGCUGGCGGCGUGCCUAAUACAUGCAAGUCGAGCGGAACCAUUCUGCCUUUCUCCUGUGGUUUAGCGGCGGACGGGUGAGUAACACGUGAGUAACCUGCCCUUCACAUCGGGAUAACUUCAGGAAACCGGUGCUAAUACCGGAUAGUUGGCCCCGUCUCAUGGUGCUGCAUGGAAAGACUGUGUCGGCUGUGACUGCCGCGUGGCCUCGCGGCGUAUUGGUGAGUUGGUGGGGUAUCGGCUCACGAAUGCCAUGAUGCGUAGCCGAGGUGAGAGGGUGAACGGCGCCACAGGGAGUGAGAGACGGCACAGACUCCUACGGGAGGCAGAAGUAGCGAAUCGUCGGAGAUGGACGAAAGUCUGAAGGAGCAACGGAGGGUGAGUGAAGAAGGUUCUCGGAUCGGAAAACGCCGUUGUGAGGGAAGAACAAGUACCAAGUAACUAAUGGUACAUUGACGGUAACUGAUAAGAAAGCAACGGCUAACUACGUG